UACGUAGGGGGCAAGCGUUGUCCGGAAUCAUUGGGCGUAAAGAGCGUGUAGGCGGCUUUACAGGUCCGUUGUGAAAACUCGAGGCUCAACCUCGAGACGCCGGUGGAAACCGUAAGGCUAGAGUCCGGAAGAGGAGAGUGGAAUUCCUGGUGUAGCGGUGAAAUGCGCAGAUAUCAGGAGGAACACCCGUGGCGAAAGCGGCUCACUGGUCCGGUUCUGACGCUGAGGCGCGAAAGCGUGGGGAGCAAACAGG
rnacentral:rRNA from 1 species